CCCUUAGAUGUCCUGGGCCGCACGCGCGCUACACUGAGUGUCUGAGAUACGAGUCUGCCUGGUCCGGCAAGGUCUAGGUAAUCGCUACAAGACACAUCAUGCUUGGGAUAGAUUAUUGCAAAUAUUAAUCUUGAACGAGGAAUUCCUAGUAAGCGCAAGUCAACAGCUUGCGUUGAUUACGUCCCUGCCCUUUGUACACACCGCCCGUCGCUACUACUGAUUGGAUGUUUAAGCGAGGUUCUCGAACUGCUAGCGACUUAGCUUCGGUGAGGUCGCAGUGUGGGAAGUGAACCUAGCUUUGGUGUCUAGAGGAAGUAAAAGUCGUAACA
rnacentral:rRNA from 1 species